GUCAGGAUGGCCGAGUGGUCUAAGGCGUCAGACUCAAGAUCUGAGGUUUCUGGUCUCCAACUGGAGGCGUGGGUUCAAAUCCCACUUCUGACA